UGAAAAUAGGAGCUGCUAAGUCUGUCACAUUCAGAGGGAGAUUUCACAGUCCUCUAAGUUCAAGGUAAUUUCUUUAACUUUUUCCCCAUCAACUUUCAGGAUCUUGUGUAAUUUGGGUGGAUGUAACUGCUUUUUUCCUUAAUUCCAAUCCAUCAUUCUGAUCCAUCAAUCUGUCUCCUCUUGCAUUGUAGGUCACACUACUGAGGUUAUCUUAAUGAUGGGUGACACUUUCCCAGAGAAAGUAGUUGC
rnacentral:lncRNA from 1 species